CCUACGGGAGGCAGCAGUAAGGAAUAUUGGUCAAUGGAGGCAACUCUGAACCAGCCAUGCCGCGUGCAGGAUGACGGCCCUAUGGGUUGUAAACUGCUUUUAUACAAGAGAAAACCCUGGUACGUGUACCAGGUUGAUAGUAUUGUAAGAAUAGGCAUCGGCUAACUUCGUGCCAGCAGCCGCGGUAAGACGAAGGAUGCAAGCGUUAUCCGGAUUCAUUGGGUUUAAAGGGUGCGUAGGCGGACUGAUAAGUCAGUGGUGAAAUCUCUUUGCUUAACAAAGAAACUGCCAUUGAUACUGUCGGUCUAGAGUAUAGAUGACGUUGGCGGAAUAUGACAUGUAGUGGUGAAAUACUUAGAUAUGUCAUAGAACACCGAUUGCGAAGGCAGCUAACGAAACUAUAACUGACGCUGAGGCACGAAAGUGCGGGGAUCAAACAGGAUUAGAUACCCUGGUAGUCCGCACCGUAAACGAUGAUUACUCGUUGUUGGCGAUAUGACAGUCAGCGACCAAGCGAAAGCGAUAAGUAAUCCACCUGGGGAGUACGCCGGCAACGGUGAAGCUCAAAGGAAUUGACGGCUGAGACGNGCGAGGACGACGACGAGGGAGGAGG
rnacentral:rRNA from 1 species